UGCGGCUGGAUCCCCUCCUUUCUAAGGAGCGUGGAAGGCGUCUUCGGACGUCAAGCCACCAAUCCUAGGUCAGCCCCGGGCACCCGGUAGACCGGUUCGACGCGAGUCGAGCCGGGGGGAGCCCAGGGAGGCGGACUCGAGGAUCGCAGAUCGCGUUCCAAGUGGCGCUUGCUAUUCAGUUUCCAGGGACCGAGCGAUCGGUUCUUUGAAACCGCUUCCGUGGAAGCGUCGGAACGUGUCAGGCUGCCGGGCCUAUAGCUCAGUUGGUCUAGAGCGCACGCCUGAUAAGCGUGAGGUCGGUGGUUCAAAUCCACCUAGGCCCACCAAACUUCCGACGACGGGCUUUGUGGGGCUGUAGCUCAGUUGGUAGAGCGCCAGCUUUGCAAGCUGGAUGUCGUCGGUUCGACUCCGAUCAGCUCCACACAAGAUUUUGGCCGGGAACUCGAGUCCCGGCGGCGCGGCGCGGUUCCGGCCCCGCCCGAAGCACUCUGACAACUGAAUACGAAGGGUAAUUAGAGCAUCGCACAGCGAGGUCUCGUGGGAUCCCGACUCCGAAGGUCUGGAUCUCGACCUCGAACAUGGCGCCGCUCGAGCGUGAGCUCGGGAGGCCUGAGUUCAGGGUGACCAAGCUACUAAGGGCGUGUGGUGGAUGCCUAGGCUCUAGGAGGCGAAGAAGGACGUGGGUGGCUGCGAUAAGCCACGGGGAGCCGCCAACCAGGCUUUGAUCCGUGGAUGUCCGAAUGGGGAAACCCGG
rnacentral:misc_RNA from 1 species